rnacentral:rRNA from 1 species
UACAGAGGGUGCGAGCGUUAAUCGGAAUUACUGGGCGUAAAGCGUGCGUAGACGGUUUUGUAAGUCAGAUGUGAAAUCCCUGGGCUCAACCUGGGAACUGCAUUUGAGACUGCAUGGCUAGAGUAUCGAAGAGGGAAGUGGAAUUUCCGGUGUAGCGGUGAAAUGCGUAGAUAUCGGAAGGAACACCAGUGGCGAAAGCGACUUCCUGGUCGAAUACUGACGUUCAUGUGCGAAAGCGUGGGGAGCAAACAGG